CCCUCACAAGUUAAUGUAGCUUAUUAAAAGCAAAGCACUGAAAAU
rnacentral:tRNA from 1 species